rnacentral:rRNA from 1 species
UACGGAGGGGGCAAGCGUUGUUCGGAAUUACUGGGCGUAAAGGGCGCGCAGGCGGCUGCUCAAGUCAGGCGUGAAAGGCCUGGGCUCAACCCGGGAAUUGCGCUUGAGACUGGGCUGGCUUGAGUGCGGGAGAGGAUGGUGGAAUUCCCAGUGUAGAGGUGAAAUUCGUAGAUAUUGGGAAGAACACCGGUGGCGAAGGCGGCCAUCUGGACCGCAACUGACGCUGAGGCGCGAAAGCGGUGGGGAACAAACGGG